GGGGGAUUAGUGGCGAACGGGUGAGUAACACGUGAGUAACCUGCCCUUGACUCUGGGAUAAGCCUGGGAAACUGGGUCUAAUACCGGAUAUGACCUCCUGACGCAUGUCAGGUGGUGGAAAGCUUUUGUGGUUUUGGAUGGACUCGCGGCCUAUCAGCUUGUUGGUGGGGUAAUGGCCUACCAAGGCGACGACGGGUAGCCGGCCUGAGAGGGUGACCGGCCACACUGGGACUGAGACACGGCCCAGACUCCUACGGGAGGCAGCAGUGGGGAAUAUUGCACAAUGGGCGCAAGCCUGAUGCAGCGACGCCGCGUGAGGGAUGACGGCCUUCGGGUUGUAAACCUCUUUCAGUAGGGAAGAAGCGAAAGUGACGGUACCUGCAGAAGAAGCGCCGGCUAACUACGUGCCAGCAGCCGCGGUAAUACGUAGGGCGCAAGCGUUAUCCGGAAUUAUUGGGCGUAAAGAGCUCGUAGGCGGUUUGUCGCGUCUGCUGUGAAAGACCGGGGCUCAACUCCGGUUCUGCAGUGGGUACGGGCAGACUAGAGUGAUGUAGGGGAGACUGGAAUUCCUGGUGUAGCGGUGAAAUGCGCAGAUAUCAGGAGGAACACCGAUGGCGAAGGCAGGUCUCUGGGCAUUAACUGACGCUGAGGAGCGAAAGCAUGGGGAGCGAACAGGAUUAGAUACCCUGGUAGUCCAUGCCGUAAACGUUGGGCACUAGGUGUGGGGGACAUUCCACGUUUUCCGCGCCGUAGCUAACGCAUUAAGUGCCCCGCCUGGGGAGUACGGCCGCAAGGCUAAAACUCAAAGGAAUUGACGGGGGCCCGCACAAGCGGCGGAGCAUGCGGAUUAAUUCGAUGCAACGCGAAGAACCUUACCAAGGCUUGACAUGAACCGGUAAUACCUGGAAACAGGUGCCCCGCUUGCGGUCGGUUUACAGGUGGUGCAUGGUUGUCGUCAGCUCGUGUCGUGAGAUGUUGGGUUAAGUCCCGCAACGAGCGCAACCCUCGUUCUAUGUUGCCAGCGCGUUAUGGCGGGGACUCAUAGGAGACUGCCGGGGUCAACUCGGAGGAAGGUGGGGACGACGUCAAAUCAUCAUGCCCCUUAUGUCUUGGGCUUCACGCAUGCUACAAUGGCCGGUACAAAGGGUUGCGAUACUGUGAGGUGGAGCUAAUCCCAAAAAGCCGGUCUCAGUUCGGAUUGGGGUCUGCAACUCGACCCCAUGAAGUCGGAGUCGCUAGUAAUCGCAGAUCAGCAACGCUGCGGUGAAUACGUUCCCGGGCCUUGUACACACCGCCCGUCAAGUCACGAAAGUUGGUA
rnacentral:rRNA from 1 species